rnacentral:rRNA from 1 species
CGGGAAUAUUGGACAAUGGGCGCAAGCCUGAUCCAGCCAUGCCGCGUGCAGGAUGAAGGCCUUCGGGUUGUAAACUGCUUUUGUACGGAACGAAAAGACUCUGGUUAAUACCUGGGGUCCAUGACGGUACCGUAAGAAUAAGCACCGGCUAACUACGUGCCAGCAGCCGCGGUAAUACGUAGGGUGCGAGCGUUAAUCGGAAUUACUGGGCGUAAAGCGUGCGCAGGCGGUUAUGUAAGACAGAUGUGAAAUCCCCGGGCUCAACCUGGGAACUGCAUUUGUGACUGCAUAGCUAGAGUGCGGCAGAGGGGGAUGGAAUUCCGCGUGUAGCAGUGAAAUGCGUAGAUAUGCGGAGGAACACCGAUGGCGAAGGCAAUCCCCUGGGCCUGUACUGACGCUCAUGCACGAAAGCGUGGGGAGCAAAC